AGUGAACGCUGGCGGUAGGCCUAACACAUGCAAGUCGAACGGCAGCACAGGAAAGCUUGUUCUAUGGGUGGCGAGUGGAGGACGGGUGCGGAAUAUACCGGAAUGUGCCCAGUCAUGGGGGGUAACGUAGGGAAACACACGCUAAUAUCGCAUACGACCUGCGGGGGAAAGAGGGGGAUCGCGCGACAUCUGGCGCCGGGAUGAGACGAUGUCGGAUUAGGGAGUUGGGGGGGUAAGGGCCCAACACGGCGACGCUGCGUAGCUGGUGUGAGAGGAUGAUCCGCCACACUAACACUGAGACACGGUCCAGACUCCUGCGGGGGGCAGCAGUGGAGAAUAGUAGACAAUGGGCGCACGCCUGCUCCACCCAUACCGCGUGGGUGGAGAACGCCCUCGUGUUGUAAAGCCCUUUUGUUGGGAAAAAAAUCUUUCAGGAUAAUACCCUGGUAGGAUGACGAUACCAAAAGAAAAAGCACCGUCUAUCCUCG
rnacentral:rRNA from 1 species